rnacentral:rRNA from 1 species
AUGUACAGGACAGGGAGUCACCAUGCCAAAGCAGCUGCCUGCUACAUCCUAACGGUCGGGCGUGGAGGCUCGCCGAGGUGUAUUGGAGUUCCUUCGGAUACCCUUGCCAUACGGAAAGGUAAGAUGACCGAGAAUGGAGUGGCCCCUAUUAAUGUGAGGCCUAUUAAUGUGAGCCCACCCGUCGUGUUUGGUGGUUGCCUUCAUUGGGAACCUGGCUGGCUUGGCUAUGAUGCCAACGAUAUAGUCGUGUUUGACACGGUGGCCGAGACAUUCAGGUCCAUGUGUUGCCCGCCUAGUGCUACGAGCUGCUGCACUCAUCUGUGUGAGAUGGAAGGAUUGAUUGGCUUUAGUUGCUUGGACGACGGGAGGACAGUCGCUAGAAUCUGGGUACUGGAGGACUACGAGAGGGAGGCAUGGUCGUUCAUGUAUCAUGUCAAAUUCCCUGCGGAGAGCGUGUGUCGCAAUAUAUAUACGCAACAUCUUGUUCUGUCCCACAAGGGAGACGUGCUGGUCCACAGUACGUACACAUAUUUCAUGUUUUGCUGUGACAGCACGGGCAAGUUCCUAGAGAAAUUCUCAUGGGAACCCAAGUUACGACCACGCUUGAACACAGGUUAG